rnacentral:rRNA from 1 species
AUUGAACGCUGGCGGCAUGCCUUACACAUGCAAGUCGAACGGCAGCGGACCUUCGGGUGCCGGCGAGUGGCGAACGGGUGAGUAAUAUAUCGGAACGUACCUUUCAGUGGGGGAUAACGUAGCGAAAGUUACGCUAAUACCGCAUAUUCUGUGAGCAGGAAAGCAGGGGACCGCAAGACCUUGCGCUGAUUGAGCGGCCGAUAUCAGAUUAGCUAGUUGGUGAGGUAAAGGCUCACCAAGGCGACGAUCUGUAGCGGGUCUGAGAGGAUGAUCCGCCACACUGGAACUGAGACACGGUCCAGACUCCUAUGGGAGGCAGCAGUGGGGAAUUUUGGACAAUGGGCGCAAGCCUGAUCCAGCCAUGCCGCGUGAGUGAAGAAGGCCUCGGUUGUAA